GGGGGUUCGACGGCCAGUGAUUAGAGUUUGAUCCUGGCUCAGGAUGAACGCUGGCGGCGUGCUUAACACAUGCAAGUCGAACGAAGCACUUUAUUACGAUUUCUUCGGAAUGACGAUUUAGUGACUUAGUGGCGGACGGGUGAGUAACGCGUGGGUAACCUGCCUUAUACAGGGGGAUAACGUUUGGAAACGAACGCUAAUACCGCAUAAGCGCACAGAGUCGCAUGACUCAGUGUGAAAAACUCCGGUGGUAUAAGAUGGACCCGCGUCUGAUUAGCUAGUUGGUGAGGUAGAGGCCCACCAAGGCGACGAUCAGUAGCCGGCCUGAGAGGGUGAACGGCCACAUUGGGACUGAGACACGGCCCAAACUCCUACGGGAGGCAGCAGUGGGGAAUAUUGCACAAUGGGGGAAACCCUGAUGCAGCGACGCCGCGUGAGUGAAGAAGUAUUUCGGUAUGUAAAGCUCUAUCAGCAGGGAAGAAAAUGACGGUACCUGACUAAGAAGCCCCGGCUAACUACGUGCCAGCAGCCGCGGUAAUACGUAGGGGGCAAGCGUUAUCCGGAUUUACUGGGUGUAAAGGGAGCGUAGACGGCAAGGCAAGUCUGAAGUGAAAGCCCGGGGCUCAACUCCGGGACUGCUUUGGAAACUGUUUAGCUAGAGUGCAGGAGGGGCGAGUGGAAUUCCUAGUGUAGCGGUGAAAUGCGUAGAUAUUAGGAGGAACACCGGUGGCGAAGGCGGCCCGCUGGACUGUAACUGACGUUGAGGCUCGAAAGCGUGGGGAGCAAACAGGAUUAGAUACCCCUGGUAGUCCACGCCGUAAACGAUGAAUACUAGUGUCGGGUAUUUAGAAUACUCGGUGCCGCAGCAAACGCAAUAAGUAUUCCACCUGGGGAGUACGUUCGCAAGAAUGAAACUCAAAGGAAUUGACGGGACCCGCACAAGCGGUGGAGCAUGUGGUUUAAUUCGAAGCAACGCGAGACCUUACCAGAUCUGACAUCCCGGAUGAAUUGAGGUAUGCCUCAGCUCUUCGAGCAUCCGAGACAGUGUGCAUGUGUCGUCAGCUCGUGUCGUGAGAUGUUGGUAAGUCCGCAACGAGCGCACCCCUAUUCCAGUAGCCAGCAGUAGAUGGCACUCUGGAAGACUGCCAGGAUUACCGGAGGAGCGGAUGACUUCAAUCAAUCAUGCCCUCAUGACUUGGGGCGUGAACACACGUGCGUCUAUCAAUGUGGCGCGUUGUUA
rnacentral:rRNA from 1 species